UUUUGUGUUGCGUAUUGGCUGCAGCUUUUCCACUGUUCUAUUCCUCUUAUUUGCAAACACAAUACAGAGAAAGAUCAACCAUGUCCGCAAGCUUAACGGCCAUGCCAUCCCACGACGCUNACGACGCUCCCCAUCCGGGUGAUGCGUGUGUGCCGCCGACUACGUGUGCAUGCCAUCCCAUGCCGACCAACGGCCGCGAAAAGCUAGCUACUUCUAACUGAAUUGAGCUAUUCCAACGGGAGCUAAACUACCUAGCUAGACUACCGGGCCACAUGGCCGUUUAUUCUACUAACUGAAGAAUGCUAUCCUAUCUACUGAAAGAGGGUAGUGGAAUUACAGGUUCAAUAGGUAGGGCGGAGGCUCCAACGGACUCUAGUGUGGGCGAGGUGGUCGGGCCAGUACGGCUCAACGGGGGCGGCCGAACGGUGGCGACGAGUGGAUGGAGCGGAGGAAGGCGGCAAUGUCCGAGUGAUUCGGCGAACUCCGGCGACGCAAGGUCGGACGGGACCUGCUUCGGCGAUCCUAGGGAAAAACACCGGUUUCACAGAGGUGACCAAGGACGAGGGGGUCCGAUUUCUCGAAGAAAAAAAGGCAGGGAAGAUUCACCGACGACGUGGCACUCUGGCAAAGGACCAGGUUCCGGCGAGAUGUGAACGGUGACGGCAGUGGCUGUGAGCGGCAAGAGGAGAUGCAGAUCGGCUGAAUGGAACGAGGGGUUCGAGGGGCUUAUAUAGGCGCGCCUACGGAGGCUGAGCGUUGCAGAUAGGCUCUAUCCCGAGAGCCUCGCGCGGCCGGUGCGGGAGCUUGAGCGCUGGCUUAUCCCACUGGUUGCGGGAGGUUAGAGACGAUAGGGGCAUGGCCCCAUGUGUUAGCGUGCGUGAGAGAGACAGAG
rnacentral:lncRNA from 1 species